UCGUGAGAUGUUGGGUUAAGUCCCGCAACGAGCGCAACCCUUGUCAUUAAUUGCCAUCAUUCAGUUGGGCACUUUAAUGAGACUGCCGGUGACAAACCGGAGGAAGGUGGGGAUGACGUCAAGUCCUCAUGGCCCUUAUGGGUAGGGCUUCACACGUAAUACAAUGGUCGGUACAGAGGGUUGCCAACCCGCGAGGGGGAGCCAAUCCCAGAAAACCGAUCGUAGUCCGGAUUGUAGUCUGCAACUCGACUGCAUGAAGUCGGAAUCGCUAGUAAUCGCGGAUCAGCAUGUCGCGGUGAAUACGUUCCCGGGCCUU
rnacentral:rRNA from 1 species